UAGGAACCUUGUAACAUUAUCCAAAGAGUUGUUCUUCAAAAUCAAGAGAAAAUGUAGAUCCUUUUGUCUUGAAUCUAACACACACACACUUCCUUUUGGGAAUGUUCAAGAGGACUCUUGAAGUUGGUCAUUGAAGAUGGAGAUUUUGAAAACCUUAAAGAAGAUCACACUUGCAUAUAGGCAUAUAUAUAUUUUGUAUAAACCUUGGGACUUGUACAUGCUCUAUGUGUUGUAUAUAUGCAUGAUAUUUUCAGGGCAUAUUUGGUCAUGUCACCAUGGGUUGUAAUAUAAGUACGACUAUAUGUUUUUAUCUUUUUGGGGGGGUGUAAACCUUUAAAGUAUGAAUCGGCUGAUUUUGGCACUCGCAAGUUGGUAAUAUUCUUGUUAUUUCAUCCUUAUCUGUGAGGAUAAUACAUCUAUUAUAAGGUCAUCAGAUUAUUCUUAA